UCUUAGUUUCAGAGAGUUUUUCUUGCGAAGAAAAAACCCGGAUCAAACGCAAUUUUUCUCUUACAAUCAAAACCCAUAGAUCUCUUUCUCCUUACUGACCAAAUCAAAACUUUUCAUUCAGUAAACCCAGAAAUCUCGAUCUAUGCUCUAAAAAUCUUAAAAAUUCCUAAACCUAGAAAAUAAUUUUGUUCCUGAAAUCCAAAAUCAAUUCAUCUAAUAGUUGAUUUCUUUGUUGAUUAUCAUCAGGGUCAAGUCGGAGGAAAAGGGAGAAGAUCUAACAGACAUCUUUUUUUGGUAUAUUGACCAAGGAAGAUUUCUUAAUUCACUGGUGAAUCCUACAUAUUUCUUUUUCUGGUGUUUCUCGGCUGUAGGAAGAUUAGAUAGACAAUGCAUCUUUCUACUUUCUUUAUUAGUUUCUGCAGUUUUGUAUGUUUAAUGGAGUUCAUUUAUAAUUCGGGAAAUGGUGGGAGAAUUAUGGUCUGUUUAUCCAGAAGCACAGUUGGAGUCGACCACUAAAUUCAGGAAGCUUGUAUCUCUUGUUUGAGGCAGCGUGGGCUUUGACGAAUAUCGCAGCAAGCACAUCAGAGCAUACACGAGUUGUGAUUCAACAUAGUGUUGUUCCAAAGCUUGUGCAACUUCUUAGCUCUGGAAAUGCUGAUGUUCGUGAACAGGCUCUGUGGACUUUGGGGAAUAUCGCUGGUGACUCGCCAGCCUGUAGAGAUUAUGUUCUUUCUCAGGGUGCAAUGGUGCCACUGCUAUCUCAGUUUUGUAAGCACUCAAAAGAAUCUAUAUUGAGGACUGCUACGUAGACUUUAUCCAACUUAUGUCGUGACGAGCCAGCAGUAUCAUUUGAGCAGGUGUUGAUUGACUACCAAGUGCUUUCUUGUUUCCAUCAACUUCUGACUCAAAAUUACAGUAAGAACAUUAAGAGAGAAACAUGUUGGGCCAUCUCAAAUAUCACUGCCGGAAAUGUUGAUCAGAUGUAUAUGGAAAUGUUGAUCAGAUAAUUAAAUUGACAUAUGUAUAUGGAACAGGAUGCUAUUGAAGCUAAUAUCAUUGGACCUGUAUUGCAUCUUCUCCAGCAUGCCGAGUUUGAGACCAAGAAGGAAGCUGCAGUGGUCUUUUAGUUUGUGUUAUCUUUUAGUUUAUUUGACUUUGUGCUAUGAACAACUCUUUUACUUGGUUUCUCAAUUAAGAGUUCUCUUUGUUCUCUUGAAUGCAGACAGCGUUUACCAUCUUUUUUUGCAAUAACCAGCUUCUUGAAUGGAUUGAGAAUGAGUUGAUCUGGGUGCUUGGUUUUGUCCCAGGACUUUCUUCCGUCCUACCUAACCUUAUUAGCAAAUUACAUGCUGCCAAAGAGAAGUGCAUUGCACCCCGAGCUCCUGUGUCAUCAAGCGACGAGGUACAGAAGUGGUGGAAUCUCUCAAUUACAUCAGUCUGGAAUACAGUAGUGUGGCUGAUGCUCUUAAACUUCUUUAUCUAGAUUGUAAAUUCAACUGCACAAUGGUAUGUUAAGAAGCAUCAGGAUUGUGAACGGAGAGGAGCUGCUGACAGUUGCUGGAAAUAAACAGCUGGUGGUGAUAUAAGUGUUGAAUGAAGUUUCUGCGGCGUCGGUCGAUUGCGAUGGAAGAUGGUUGCAACUGCCAAUGGAGUAAAGCAAGAUUGUGAAUGGAAGAGAAUGAGAAAGAAACGGAGCUGUGGUUUCAAACUAGAAAGGCGCUGUUGUUGGAUUGAAGGUUGUCGUUUCUUAUUAGUUGAGCUGUUGUGACAGUGGAAGAAGGCCAUGAGAUGGAGAAUGGAGUCAGAGAAAAAGAUUCAGAAGGAUUGAAAUUGUGAAAGUGGCGUCGUGACCUGAGUCAACAAGAAUCAGUGGGAUAUGGAGUUGUACUGCCGGAGCUGGUGCUCUAGUCGUGAAUCAGAAGACUAAGUGGAAUAGAAAUUGGCAGUCAGUGUAGUUAGCAGUGAUGAGAUUCUGGAGGGCAACAAAUGGACAGGCUGAGUAAUGGUGCUGUGUUCGAGUUGUUUGCAGCAAAGCGAAGAAGAAUCUCAGGCGGACAUAAAUUAGAAGUUGGUUCAUGGUGCAGCAAUGACGAUGGAGAAUGGUUUGUUGUCAGACGGAGUUUAGAAGAUGGACUACUGGCUCGAGUCUAGUUAGCUUUUGGUAACCACGAAGUGGCUGUAGCUUGCAAGUGUUCUGCAUUUAUGGGCGACCAAUUAGAAUUUUUAACCAAUGGAGCCCUUCUUCCUUGGUGUUAUACAUUCUUAUGUACACUUCGCAGUUUGCAUAGGCAUGGGGUUAUUCUUUGGCAGCUUGCAUGCCCUGUCUGUGGGUUAUUCAGUGAAUUAACUAAAGACCAUGAACCUGAAUAUACCAUUUAGGUGCAGAACUCUGAUGGAUUUUUUUAAUUUUACCUGUAAAAAUGUUUGCAACGUAUAUAAGUGUUGCUUACG